rnacentral:rRNA from 1 species
UGGGCGAAAGCCUGACGGAGCAACGCCGCGUGCGGGAGGACGGCCUGUGGGUUGUAAACCGCUUUUCUCAGGGAAGAAGAUCUGACGGUACCUGAGGAAUCAGCAUCGGCUAACUCCGUGCCAGCAGCCGCGGUAAUACGGAGGAUGCAAGCGUUAUCCGGAAUUAUUGGGCGUAAAGCGUCCGCAGGCGGUUCAUCAAGUCUGCUGUUAAAGGCCGAGGCUCAACCUCGGUUAAGCAGUGGAAACUGGUGAACUAGAGUGCGAUAGGGGUAGAGGGAAUUCCCAGUGUAGCGGUGAAAUGCGUAGAUAUUGGGAAGAACACCAGUGGCGAAGGCGCUCUACUGGGUCGCAACUGACGCUGAGGGACGAAAGCUAGGGGAGCGAAAGGGAUUAGAUCCCCCUGUAGUC